rnacentral:lncRNA from 1 species
AAUCUCUUCCUUGAGAUCAGUCUUUGUGGGGUUUUUGUGAGCCUACAACACUGCAUCUUCUGUUCCUCACUUGUCUGCCCAUCCCCUCCGCGGGCUCUGAGCUUCAGAAAUAUGCCCUAGGAGCGGGAAAAGCGUGUAAGACAUGCAGUAGGCCGUUCUGCGUCAUAAGAACAAGCUCUCAAAUUCAAUCUUGUGGGGAAGAUUUUCACAGAAGAGGUAAAUAUUUGGGUGUUCUUCCUAAGAUAGAAGCAUAAAAUUCUGGAAUGCCUUCUUGCCUUCUGGCACCUGGCUGCUGGAUGUUGAACCAUAAAAGAAGUUCCCUGAUUCAAGCCCUGGGAAGAUGUUUUCCAUGUACAUUGUAAAACCAUGCCCAUAAGUCAUUCUUCUAGGCCUGCUGAGUGCAUGCAAUAGCUGGAAGAUUGUUGGAAUACACUUGAGCACUGAAAUCUAUACAUGACUUAUAACACAACAUUCUGCUACUACUGGUUUACUCCUUCCAUACCAAAGUGUUGGGAGAAAUGUGUGGCAGAUGUAUUUCAUGGAGGAUGCUGCUGUUCUCAGCAGGAUGCCCGUUCAGCCUGCACUUCCAUCUUGCUGCUAGGGAGCACUUUGAGGAAUUGACCAUUAUCAAGGGAGAGGAAAGCCUGGAUGUGAAGACGAAAGGCUUAAGCUUCAUAGUUUACGAACCCAGUGCACAUAGGAGUGCCAAUUUUGGAGCAGGCUUGUGCUGGGAUGGUAGGACCUUGUAGCUCUACGGGAAAGGGGAGUUCUGUGAUGCAGUAAAACCCCCAGAAAUUGAGCUGCAUUCCCAGUGUGCUGUAGGCCAUAAUACAGGUGUUGCUGGUGUUGUUAAUAUAUGCACAAUAUAAUGAAUAUUAUUACUAUUGUUAAACACUUUCAUUGUAGUUAAUGUAGGUACAAGUAAAAGCCUACUGAAAAAUAAGAGUUAAGUAGAGUAAUGACAAGAACAGGCAUUACACAGUCACUGUAUCUCAACAAAGCCCAACGUUGUGGAAUUCUACCCAUCCCACAAGAAAAUAAUCGUAAUGUCAGCCAGCAAGUGCAGUUGUGUGGUUGUUACAUUACAUAUUGCUCUAUGCUUAUAUGCUAAUCACAGAAUGACUAAGUACAGAUAUUACUCAGAAAAAAAGUGUUAAAAUUUGACAAAAAAAAAUAUAAGCGGUGCUUUGUUGUAGUCUCCCCAUAGGUCCUUUAGAUCAGAUUUAACUUUUUAACUCCUGGAGAUGUGUGAACAUAAGUGUUGCUGAAAGGUCUGUAUGAUUUGUCUGAAAAUGGAAUUGUUGCUCUUUUCUCUGUUAAGCGGUCCUGGAUCACACUGUUGUCAAGUAACAAUGCAGUCUGUAGCAUGAAUAUUAAGGUUGGAUUCUUAAAAU